CGUAAAACUCUGUUGUUAGGGAAGAACAAGUACGAGAGUAACUGCUCGUACCUUGACGGUACCUAACCAGAAAGCCACGGCUAACUACGUGCCAGCAGCCGCGGUAAUACGUAGGUGGCAAGCGUUAUCCGGAAUUAUUGGGCGUAAAGCGCGCGCAGGCGGUUUCUUAAGUCUGAUGUGAAAGCCCACGGCUCAACCGUGGAGGGUCAUUGGAAACUGGGGAACUUGAGUGCAGAAGAGAAAAGCGGAAUUCCACGUGUAGCGGUGAAAUGCGUAGAGAUGUGGAGGAACACCAGUGGCGAAGGCGGCUUUUUGGUCUGUAACUGACGCUGAGGCGCGAAAGCGUGGGG
rnacentral:rRNA from 2 species